rnacentral:rRNA from 1 species
UACAGAGGGUGCGAGCGUUGUUCGGAAUUAUUGGGCGUAAAGGGCGCGUAGGCGGUGCGGUAAGUCACCUGUGAAAUCUCCUGGCUCAACUGGGAGCUUGCAGGCGAAACUGCCGUGCUGGAGUGUGGGAGAGGUGCGUGGAAUUCCUGGUGUAGCGGUGAAAUGCGUAGAGAUCGGGAGGAACAUCAGUGGCGAAGGCGGCCAUCUGGGACAACACUGACGCUGAGGCACGAAAGCGUGGGGAGCAAACAGG